AUUGAACGCUGGCGGCAUGCUUUACACAUGCAAGUCGGACGGCAGCACAGAGAAGCUUGCUUCUUGGGUGGCGAGUGGCGAACGGGUGAGUAACAUAUCGGAACGUACCGAGCAGUGGGGGAUAACUAAUCGAAAGAUUAGCUAAUACCGCAUAUUUUCUGAGGAAGAAAGCAGUGGACCUUUGGGCCUUGCGCUGUUUGAGCGGCCGAUAUCUGAUUAGCUAGUUGGUGGGGUAAAGGCCUACCAAGGCGACGAUCAGUAGCGGGUCUGAGAGGAUGAUCCGCCACACUGGGACUGAGACACGGCCCAGACGCCUACGGGAGGCAGCAGUGGGGAAUUUUGGACAAUGGGCGCAAGCCUGAUCCAGCCAUGCCGCGUGUCUGAAGAAGGCCUUCGGGUUGUAAAGGACUUUUGUCAGGGAAGAAAAGGGCGGGGUUAAUACCCCUGUCUGAUGACGGUACCUGAAGAAUAAGCACCGGCUAACUACGU
rnacentral:rRNA from 1 species